CAGAUGCUGCAUCAGCGAAAGCACACAGACAAAUGAGGCUGGCCAUGGAGUCACACCAGCCUCAGCAGGACCUGUACAGAUCAGCUGUGAUCACCAGGGUUGCACAACCUUCCACAAGUGAGAAGUGGACUCUGGACAGCGAGAUAUGCAUUACAAGAUAAAGCUGUCCUGCUAUGCCACAGGUGUUGGUAUGAGCUCCAUCUCUGUGAUAUCCAAGUGCUUAACAGCCUUUUCAGGAGGAAAGCAAAGUCAGCGUCUCAUCUGAGAACUGUUUCUGAGAAUGAACACACGUAUGCAGCUAGCAGAAUCUUCCAUUUGCACAGAAAACUUUUAGCAGUUGAAGAGUCUGAGCAUGCCUCAGUGGCCCUGCGCUCCCAGCACACAAAGCCAUCUGCAGCCACCAGUCAUUUGGAGCAGCCUCUCACAUGCUGGCUUUCCUACACGGAGUUUCUCACAGCAGGAUCAGCCGCCCUUCCAGCACAUCACAGGUGUUCUCCACAUGGCGUGAGCAGGUGAGAGCGUGACUUUGCCAACCCAUGAUGAAGUUUGGUAGCUGAAAUACAAAAUCCAAGUUUGGCCUGAGAUCUGAAUCUGGCACUCAGCUUCAUCCUCUGCUCCGAGCCAAAUCAAACUACAGCACGUCAUGAAAUCCAAACACCGCUGUGCUCUGGGUUGCUUAAGAUCUGGAUCCAGCUACAGCCUCUGAUGAGGAAGCUCCUCUCUGUACAUGGGGCCAGUGUACAGCAUACUCCCUCAUUAGAUGGUAGCACUCAAGUAACGGGAAGUUCGCACCUUAAAAUCUCUGGGGAAGAAGCUAAAGUGCUGAGAAAGCUUUAGGGUACGGCGAAAUUGCUGCUCCGUGUAGCUUAGGAAAAGGGGGGAAAAAAAAACACAAGCAAGAUUUAUGGGUGGUUCAAGUUCUGAGGCAAUGCUCUUCCUCCAUCUUUUUUGGCUCCUGCAGUCUCAUAUUAUUAGUUUAAGAGCUGCCAGGCAUAGAGAGUACUCCACUCAGCCCACCUGUGCUUUUUUGAG
rnacentral:lncRNA from 7 species